UGAGCAAAACAGGCAGAGCCCCGCGGCUGAGUGAAAAGAGCCGUGGAACCGGGGCCGAACGAAACCUCAGGCAGGACUGUGGACGCCUAAGAAAGGGCAACGAGGCCGCCUGAACUGAGGGCAAGGGGAAAGCGUACGUUCGUGCUGCUUGCUUGGCAGCUGCGCAAAGACUGCUUUGAAGGCAAUCUGAUUUUGGGUGCCCAGAAUUGGACACAGUAUUCCAGGUGUGGUCUGACCAAGGCAGAAUAGAGAGCAAUCUUCAGAAGUCCAUGAACCAGGAACGAUGGAACAAGCCAGUGACAAGGACUAACUGGAAAAUCAAGACAUCAAAGGGCAAACCAGGAUACAAGGUCAGAACAAUGAAAAUCUCAUCACUGGGCUUCUCUCCAGGGAUGCUACUCAGUAUGGACUACAAUCAAGCCAAAGCACUAAUCAAACGACGUAUUUCAGACACAGAGCACCAAAUGGAUCUAACCUAUGCCCCAACCUUUACUGUCAAUGAAGCCACAUGUAUCUCACCUCCCCUAUGGCAUACUUAACAAAUCUAGAGGUGCUCAAUCAUCAGAGAGCUUUCAUCCUGGCUCGAUGUCACGUCCUUCCAUCAGCUGUGUUCGAGGGCAAUACUGGAAGACCCCCUACCCAGAGAGACUCUGCCCUUGUGAUUUGGGUCAAACAGAAACAACUGAGCAUGUUCUCCUCCAGUGCCUGUUCUACAGGGACAUUCGAUCUAUAACUCAUCCUGCCUUUGCUAUACAAUUAUCCAAGCCGUUCAGGACACUUUUACACCAACCUGCUGCUCUCAGAUACCAACCCAGUUAUAACCUAUAAUGCUGCUAAGUUUUGUGCAGCAGCACUUAAAAUCCGCCAAGUGAUGGCUGGUUCCAAAAGUUAACAAUCUAAUUACCAGCAAACUGAAAUCAGUUCUUCCCACCCCAAUACCCUAGAUUUGUGCCCUGAAUGCUCCUAUCCCUACAUCAAUCUCCCUCCCUCUCCAUUUCUUCCUAGUCUCUUCCCUUCUCUAAAUAGUUUUUGUGUUUUAGCUUUCAACAUACCACUGUUUUCUAGUAUUUUAGAUUGUAAUGUCCAAUGUUUCUGUGAGAUUGUACCCCACUCUCCUUAUUCUGGUCUAUGACCAUAAUAAAGAUUUGUGUUUGUUUGUU